rnacentral:rRNA from 1 species
AUUGAACGCUGGCGGCAGGCCUAACACAUGCAAGUCGAGCGGAUGAAGGGAGCUUGCUCCUGGAUUCAGCGGCGGACGGGUGGGUAAUGCCUAGGAAUCUGCCUGGUAGUAGGGGAUAACGUCCGGAAACGGGCGCUAAUACCGCAUACGUCCUGAGGGAGAAAGUGGGGGAUCUUCGGACCUCACGCUAUCAGAUGAGCCUAGGUCGGAUUAGCUAGUUGGUGGGGUAAAGGCCUACCAAGGCGACGAUCCGUAACUGGUCUGAGAGGAUGAUCAGUCACACUGGAACUGAGACACGGUCCAGACUCCUACGGGAGGCAGCAGUGGGGAAUAUUGGACAAUGGGCGAAAGCCUGAUCCAGCCAUGCCGCGUGUGUGAAGAAGGUCUUCGGAUUGUAAAGCACUUUAAGUUGGGAGGAAGGGCAGUAAGUUAAUACCUUGCUGUUUUGACGUUACCAACAGAAUAAGCACCGGCUAACUUCGUG